CAGCCGCCGCGGGGAAUACGAAGGGUGCGAGCGUUACUCGGAAUUACUGGGCGUAAAGCGUGCGUAGGUGGUGGUUUAAGUCCGUUGUGAAAGCCCUGGGCCCAACCUGGGAAUUGCAGUGGAUACUGGGUCACUAGAGUGUGGUAGAGGAUAGUGGAAUCUCCGGUGUAGCAGUGAAAUGCGUAGGGAUCGGAAGGAACAUCUGUGGCGAAGGCGACUAUCUGGGCCAACACUGACACUGAGACACGAAAGCGUGGGGAGCAAACAGGAUUAGAUACCCCCGUAGUCCCUGUCUCUUAUA
rnacentral:rRNA from 1 species